GGACUACAGGGGUUUCUAAUCCCAUUCGCUCCCCUGGCUUUCGUUCCUCAGCGUCAGUUAUGGCCCAGUAAGUCGCCUACGCCACCGGUGUUCUUCCUGAUAUCUACGCAUUUCACCGCUACUCCAGAAAUUCCACUUACCUCUACCAUACUCCAGUCUGCCAGUAUCCAAAGCAAUCCCAGGGUUGAGCCCUGAUCUUUAACGUCAGACUUAACAAACCGCCUACGAACUCUUUACGCCCAAUAAAUCCGGACAACGCUUGCAUCCUACGUCUUACCGCGGCUGCUGGCAC
rnacentral:rRNA from 1 species